rnacentral:rRNA from 1 species
CGGAGGGGCUAGCGUUGUUCGGAAUUACUGGGCGUAAAGCGCACGUAGGCGGCUUUGUAAGUUAGAGGUGAAAGCCUGGAGCUCAACUCCAGAACUGCCUUUAAGACUGCAUCGCUUGAAUCCAGGAGAGGUGAGUGGAAUUCCGAGUGUAGAGGUGAAAUUCGUAGAUAUUCGGAAGAACACCAGUGGCGAAGGCGGCUCACUGGACUGGUAUUGACGCUGAGGUGCGAAAGCGUGGGGGAGCAAACAGGAUU